GCGACUGUAGCUCAGUUGGUAGAGCCCCCGGUUGUGGUCCGGGUUGUCGCGGGUUCGAGUCCCGUCAGUCGCCCCA
rnacentral:tRNA from 1 species